rnacentral:tRNA from 1 species
GGGCUCGUGGUCUAGCGGUAUGACAUUUCGUUGACGUCGAAAAGGUCGCCUGUUCGAAUCAGGCCGAGCCCA